AUCCACAAUUAUUCGGCUUUAACAAAUCGACAGGAAAGCGAAAUGCAAAUGCUCCUCUUCCUUACACGAUCUGAUGGAUUCUUUCGGUGAUUGUACGAUUCUCAACUAUACAGUCAAGCCCUAGAAAAGUUACAAUCUUCGUCACUGUCACUGUGAAUAAAAAUCUUCACCCUUUGUUGAUGUUCUUGAAUGAUAUGGAGUACUAAUACUACUACGACUACUACUACUAAUAAGCAAGUUCAGUUGGUACUCCUGCGAUCCUGUUUUGAGUUAGAUUCUCAACUUCUCCUGAAACGAGAUCAUCAACAGUCUGGAGCUUAUCAAAGAUCUGCAGUUUUAUUGGUUUUUUAUUCCCUACUGUCUUGUGUUUUCAAGAGAUGGUGGAUGAAGGCUUGUUGCAUGGUUUGAGCUAGGGAAAAGAAGGAUGUGGGUUGUAAUCAAUGGUGAUUUGUUGACUUUGGUGGUUGACAACAAUUGGGUGAUGGUUUGAUCAUGGGCUAUGAAGCACAGGUAUGGUACAAGUAAUGGUAUGAUAUGAGUACAUUGAUACGGUAACAUCUAAAAAAAGUAGUGUAUGGUUACAACUGGGUACAUUUGCAAAAAAAAUAUUUAUUUUUAAUUUGGAGUAACGCAAAAAUUAGUUAAAUGGUUUAGUUUGUUAAGAUCCAACCUACAUUCACAUUUAAUGCCAAAAAGUAGAGACAUAAACCAAAAUUAAAUGUUAUUUUAUUGAAUAACUUAUAAACCAUAGCUUAAUUUUAAAAUCAUGUUAUAAACAAAUAAAGAAAGUCCAAUGAAACUAGUUUUACCUCUGUAUUAGAAGAAAAUAUUGUUUCGACUGAGGUAUGAUACGUCUUGGGUAUACACUAUGUACGUCUUGGGUAUGGCAAAAAUUAAGAAAAAAAUAUUUGGUACGUGUUUCGUGUACCUAGUAUGUAUGCAAAAGAACUAUACUAAGUACCGGUACUCAGUAAAUACCCAAUAUGGAUGUGACAUGUUUGUCAAAGUACCCAUUUAUUUUUUGGGUAAUUAAGUCGUAAUAGAAAACAAAGAAGUACAAGGGGAAUGCCCUAGGACCUACCUGCUAUACAGGAACAAACAAACCAGCUCUAGAAGAGAGCAUAGCAGACUAAUCAAGCAUGCACAUCCCCCAUAGAGGAGAAAGCUACCAAGUUAAACAAACCCCAAGGAAACAAAGAUGUUAAAUGGCCACUUUCAUAUCUAAAUGGAGGCAUUGAACAGCCCAAAGAGGGGGUAAAGGCUCACGAAACAAACAACCAAAACUUUGCACAACCGCA